rnacentral:pre_miRNA from 1 species
UUUGUACACCCUCCGUCCCAAAAUUCUUGUCUUAAAUUUGUCUAAAUACGGAUGUAUCUAGUUACAUUUUAGUGUUAGAUACAUCCGUAUCUAAACAAAUGUAAGACAAGAAUUUUGGGACGGAGGGAAUACUAC